UUCAUUAAUGAGACGGCGGAGCGAAGGAGGGAAGCCACGUUUGUCGCCGCUGCCGCUCGGAUGGAUCUUCAGCGCCGGAUAUGUGUGCUCAUGUGCGACCUGCGAAGACGCCGACCGGGCCCAACUCUUCGGCCGACGACCUUUGACACCCCAAACUCGGCCGACCAGAGUGACAGAAACACCCACGAGUGAGCCGCGGCGAGCACGUGUCUGAGGGUGCCACCAUGAAAAAUAUAUCCCGCCAGAGGUGGAGGAAGGCAUCGCGUGCUAGCACUCUUUCACUCACCCCCUCAGCCCCCCGCCCGCGAUGGGGAGGCAGAUCAGAAAUAGCAGCCGCCUUGGGCGCAUCCAUCCGUCGUGUUCGCAGCGAGCGAGAGAGAAAAAGGCAGGUGCUUUUGUACGGCACGCGCGCGUGACUCCGUCCAUCUUGGCCCAAGGAAAACGCGCUUGGCUGCAGCCGACAGACAGAUGCCCGGCAGACACACUCGCAGGAGCCAUCAGGGUGACCUUUUAAGUCUUCCUCCGGUCUGGUGUCUGCAACGCGAAGUCUUACGCGGACGUGACUUUAUGUGCUCAAGCGAGUUGCACCGAGGUGUCAAUGAUCUAAUAACAAGAAGAAGAAGUUAAGUUUGUGCGACCGCACUGUUUGUCCUGGCACUCAACGAACGUGUGAUAAGUAUUGUAUUUUCUAACGCUGACCAGAAAUCCAACCACUCUUAAUAUAAUAACCUCAUUCAUGGGAACGUUUUUUUGAACUGAAAAAGUAACGCAGAAAGCAAAGAGACUGAUAAGUAAAACAAUUAAUUUUACUAACUUGACACUAACAGAAUGAGAUAUUUAUAAUUGAAAUUACAAAAAUAAUUAAUAUUGGAUUAGUUUUCAUUAAAGGCAACGUUGCCAAUUAAUUCUAAACUUAUAAUUAUCAAGGAACUGUUUAAUUGGAGCAAGAUUUUAUCGUUGCCCACUUUUGCAUAAAUUUUAUUUCAUCUUGGUGGAACAGGUGGUUUUCAUAGUUCACUUACUCCCUUUACUAUUUACUAAUUAUUUAUUUCAGGUGGCUCCGUCUGUAAUUUACGAACGCCUGUGGAAUGAACUCGCAGGGUUCAUUUCCUUCUGCGGCUUACUCCUCCUCUGGCUCUCUCUCUCUCUCUCUCUCUCUCUCUCUCUGCGUUUUUUGUGAAGAGAGCAAGCGCAGCCGCUCUUUCUUUCUUUCUCUCUCUCUUUCCAUUCAAGAAGAGGAGUUGUGGAAUGUUGGGAAGCGUGGCAACCCCGCUCGCCUUCGACACUUUACUCAGGGAAUAUUUUCAGUGCUUCCAGCACUUCAUCUUCUUUUACUUACCUGUGCACAUUCCUUCACCGCCGCCAGUCGUGAAAGGAAAGGAGGACUCAGCAGGUUCUUUCAUUUCUCGCCGCCACUGCCGUUCGCUCUCGUCGCAUUCCUCCACCUGAACUUCCUCCCCUGAGUAAGCACCCCUUCCGUCUCAUCACACAGGUGGAACAGAAAAUUGAAGAACCGUAAGUAGUGUGUGCAGUCGUCGAUCUGUGGUGCUCCACUUUGGACACAAAUUCCUCUGCGGGACCACACCCAUGUGUGUGUGUCCCGAAUUCAAGCGCGAUUUGAAUUCCUUCGCCGCUCUUCGGAGAGCUCUUUUUAUUUUUAGCGGCCGGACGGACGGCGCUCUGUCCUUGCGUCGACAAUAGCGGUUUUAAUGCAACAGCAGGUACGCCUCCUCCAGUUACACCUACUGUGAGCAUGAUAAAAUCCAACCAACCUGCUGCUAUAUAUGUAUAUGUGUGUGCUCUCUCGCCAGCUCGCUCGCUGCUUUAGUUAGGCGCCUGAUGGUGGGAAUGGAAUGCUCGUAUCUUGCUUGUAUUUUGUGGGAGGGAUUUAUUUCCACACACACUCUGGCUCUAUGUGUACGUAUGUAAGUACCUAUAUUCUUGUCCUUUUAUUCUCUCUCUCCGCAGCGGGAUAAAAGAGACAAAAAUUAAUUCCCCGCAGAUAUAUCGGAGGACCAUGGGAACCAAUUUUCUUUGUCAACCUGAAGGAAUUCCAGUCGGCGGACACUUUCCUCUUCAACAGGUUGAACUACCAAAAUUUAAGUUUAUAAUCAAAAAAUUUAAAAAUUCGCUUAUACAACCUUUUAAUACAAUUAGGAAUUUUUUUGAUAAGGACCGGUGUUAAUAAUUGUCCCCGAGGAUAACGGUGAGCGCACGGGACCACCCAUGCUCCUUCAUCCUCACUGCCAUACACACGUCCAUUUUUUACUCAUAACAGUCGCGGUGUGCGGUCCGGAGCCGUCGAAUGAUUCGAACGCAGCGGCAAAAAGCGGCGGCGGCCGUGCUCGUUGACACCUUCCGUGCGUAUUGAGGCCGCAGACGGCGGGCGACGUCCUUUCUUUCUUUACUUUGAUGUACCGUGAAUAAGAUUAUGUCAUUCGGGGGCCGGUGCAGGGCUCCGCAGCUCGGGCUCCUCCGUCAGUAGAGAGCAGCACCGCCGGCCGGUCGGACGGAGCCAAUGAACACAUAGGAAUGUCUCUUGAGCUCUCUGCCGAGGAUACAUUCUCACGCUCAGAGAGAUCAGCCAGCCGAGCAGAGUGAGCGAGCGAGCAGCCCAGGCCAAAAGACUCGCUCCUAUAAUACAGCUUGGCUGGCUGGCUGGCGGGCCGAGUAGGAGCGCCCACAACUCGUCUCUCUCAUAUUAUGUAUAAAUGUAAUAUGCCUCCCCCUUGGUGCAUCGGCCACUUUAUUGGGCCGCGCCCUUUACCCUCCAGCCGUCCUUUAAUUUUCGUUUGUGAGCCGAGAGCCGGCCGCCGCCGCCAGUUCUUUGCCCUCCUUCUCCGGCUGCAAGAAUGCUUUGUUGUUUAGAAAUGAGUGGAAAAAAAUCGGCAGUGGGCUCUGAUGGGUUGGACAAUUUUGGACGGGGUGAAAAUUGUGGUCGGCGAACCGGUUUGGUUUUUUUUUCAAUCUUUCGAGUGGAAAAGUGCAUUCCCACAGAGAUUUAAAUGCGUGCAAUUUUGUUGGGAAAUGUGUGGAAAAUGGGGAGAUUCCGCUAGAUUCUCACACGCGCAAACUGGAUUUAUUUAUUCCCAUCCGCUCCCUCCCCCCGCAGGACAGGACAGGGGGUAGUUUGUGUCUCACGCGUUUCUCUCAGGUAGUGUGCUCUCAUUAUUCUCUCAUUGUGCGGCCCCUUCUUGCGUUUUGCAUUUCUCAGAAAUUCAUUGUCCUCUCUGGUGAAAAAGCGCGCGAUCCCCUGUUGCCUUUGUUGGUCUUGGCCUCCGCUUUAUUUUAUUUGUUUCCCACCCUGCCGAGAGAAGAAGAGGAAUCUGGUCUUCUGCUCGCGGAGCAGGGUAGGUAGAUCGACUCUGUACUCGCAUGUAUAUUGUACACACACAUGAAAUAAGUAGAGGCGGCGGCAGCGGGGCCAUAAGCGAAGCAGCAGCAUUCCUUUCAAGGCAAGGAGGGAUAAAAAGAGAAGAACUUCUACUUUAGGCUCGUGGGAAUGGAGGAAAACCCACCGGCAGCUCUUUAUCUGCCUAAAUAAGAGAAUCGCCGCCGCCACCGUGGCCGUCCAAAGAAUCUUUCUCUCCUCUUCUCGCCGCAUGCUAAUAUAUUAUAUUGUUUAAAUCCCCCUGUUCCCAUUUGUCCCCCUUAAUGUGCGUAUGAAUAAUUUUCUUUUUAUUUAGACUUGUUGUUAUUAUUCUUUUCUGUGCUAGCAUUUUUUUCCAUCUUGCCAAUGCCGCCCCUUGUGCCCGAAAGUGGUGUUGCGCAGCGGCAGUCUAGUUUUCUUUCACUCUCUUUCAGCUUUGUUGUUGACAGUCACCCCUUCCAAAUUUGAAUGGAGGAAUUAAGAAGAUCUACUCGACGGACCGAGCAACCACUCCUUCGACGUCUUGUUAGCAGACCAGGUGUCAUCCAGCUCCUCUCCUGCAGCAGCUCACAAAACUGGCUUUCUCAGUGAUCUUCCAGAUGCAUUUUUAAUUCUGAGAUCAUUGUGAAAGCUGAUUUUGUUUAUUUUUACAUCUUGUGACAUCCGUCGAACGCAUCAAGCAACAAAUCAGCUUUAUUAUACGAAUUUAAUGUUGUUUUGAUUUUACCAAAUGACUCUAACUCUAAAUGUUGGCGAUUAUAUCAUGUUUAGUAUUUUAUUGUAAAAAAACACUGACUGUUUCAAAUAAAUGUUGCUUUUAUUAAAAAACACGAGUAUCUGUAUUUAUUUUCACCAAAAUUGUGAGCAAAUAUAUAACAAGAAAUCAUACAUAAGUAGAAGAUAAAGGAAAUCAAUCAUCACAGCAUGAUUUUAAAUCACUCUAAACUGGCGCACAGACUUUACCAAAUUUUGGCAAGAGCAACUUCAAAGACCUUUUUGAACUUCUUGAAACUAAGCUAAUAUAAAUUUUAAAUAAAUAACAAUAAAAUGGUCAUCCUGGCUAACUGAAUACUUGAAUUACUUUGACUUCUGCAUUAGCAAAAUGCGGAACACGAACGCAGCAAUCU